GGUGUAGACAACUCUUGCUAUCUGUUCACAUUGAUAAGACUUGGCUGUUCAUUAUUAUUGUUUUUUUAUACUCCGCAAAGGAGACUCAAAGUUCUCAAAGGCGAACUGAAAUUAAGUUCAAGGUGGGGGCAUUCACACUCUUUUUUUAAAAUCCACUUAGAUCAGACUUCAAAAGCGACAGCUAAGAUACAGCAACGUAUUCAAUUACUCCAACGUUACAAAGCUGAAAAAGAACUAAGGAAAUUAAAGGAGCAACGAGAGAAACCUGUGUUUAAAUGUGGCCGGUUCAAGCCAGAAGCCCCGGGCUUUCUUACAAAAGCAUCACAGAUCCCAGUCCUGAGCAAGCCGAAAGAGACGGUGGUGAAAACAGCAACUGUGGAGGCACCUCCCGUGCGGGUAACAAGAUCAAAGACGAAGAACCAGGCGCAAGAUCCAAUUAGACCACAGCUUUCUUUGGUUGGUUUUGUAUUUUUAAUUAUUUAUACUGUUGAAAUUUUAAUACAGACGGAAACAAAUUGCCACGGUUUUGUUUGAUUGUGAUGCGGUUGAAAUUCCUCAAAUGCCAACUGUACUGCUCUUGUGAUCAGUACCUGAACUAAAAGAUUGACAGGUUGAGAACUGCUCAUAUCAAUUGAGAACUUUUUUAUGUCUAGUAAUAUACUGUGCUACAUAAUUUGUCCUACAGUCAGCCCUCCACAUUCACUGGGGUUAGGAGUGCAGGGUCAUGGUGAAAGCAGAACAGCUGCAAAUAUUGGAGAGAAACCCCUCUAGGGAUUUCUAGGUCCUCUAGCACAUCUCUAUGAUCAGCCUCCAUGAGAGGUUGAUCCCAGUCUUAUGCUGGAGACUGGGGAUUUCUGGAGAGACCGUAUUGAUCAAUUCUGCAAAAGCUAAAUCCACAAAUGUGGUGGGCUGACUGUAGUUACACAGUUCUUUCAAGCCAGAUGCUUGAUCUCCAAAGACCUCUUUUUGCUGAAAUAGUUUUUAAAUAGGAUGAACACUUAAAUUGUCUUUCUACCCGAGGAGUAGAAAGAUGCACAAAUCGACAGCCUCAUGUGUAACAGAGACCUUUGCUUUAGAUCACUUCUUCAGUUGGGUGUUGCCUUCAAUGCAUGCUAUUUAGCAGGAAUUACUUAAAAGCAAUACCUUCUGCUAGCCAUCUGCAACAAGUAGGGUUAUCCUUCAGAUGAUUAGACAUGAUACUUUCCAAAGAAUAGAUCUUUGGAUUUUUUAUUAAAUCAGGGAGAUAGAAUGCCAAGGUGGUUGGACAUAAAAGAAAACCUGCAAACUCCAAAGGGGUGGAUGGUUAGUAGAAAAUGUGCAUUUCUUGGGUCAUG
rnacentral:lncRNA from 1 species